GACCGCGUAGCUCUGUUGGCAGAGCAUUGGGCUAUUCCAAAGGUCGUAGGUUCAAUUCCCACCGUGGUCA
rnacentral:tRNA from 1 species